UUUCCUUUGCCACACCUUCCCAUUUCUAUGGAUAGCCAACAUAGCCUAAAAAUUCAUAGCCUUGACCUAAAACCAUUCACUGUACCUCUAAGCUAGAUCCUAUGAUUUGUUUUAGGUCCUGGUAUAAAAUAACAUUUGCACCCUGCCAUUCCCUUGUAAGAAAUCCUGGAUACCAUGUGUUCCAGAUCAUUUGGCAUAUAGGAUGGAGGAAGACUGACCUGUGCUGUGAGUGAAUAGUGUUUUAUUGUGUUAAGCCACUGUGAUUUCACGGAUAUUUUUGUCAUAUCAGCACAGCUUACCAAAUAAUUCUUCCCCAAAUAAAAAUCCAUCCUCUCCUGGCAUGAGUUUUUAGCAUAGAGCAAAAAUUCAUCAAGUCAUUCUCUUUUAAGUAUGACCAUCAUGUAUAUCACAAGUUGACUUAUAGGUUAUGUGUCAAUGGUUUUGUCCUACUGCAAAUUGAAAUGUUAACCAGUAAGUUCAGAUGAUAGUAAUUGCCUUUCAACAUUACAUACCAAUGAUAUUGUGCAAAAUCCAGUAGUGUCCCUUGCUUGAUCAAGACAUCUGAUUAACAGCUUAUUUAGCUUUCUUUUCUCACCUUGAGUUUCCAUAACAUGUCUCAGCUUCCCUGCUCCAGGAUUUACUCCAGAGCACUGGGAUCUUGUUUGGCCCAGUCACAACAAAAGCCCAGGAGUACAGGAGAGUUAAUGCCCCCUGGAGCAAUUCAGCUGCAGGAUGGUGAGUCCAUGGAUGAAAAUCUAAAUCUCUUAUCACUUUGAAGGGGAAUUCUGAGGUGUAUUCUACACAGUUCCUUAGCAUAUCACCAGUAGAACAGAGUUCUACUUUCUAGAACAAGAGCCAGAUCAAUAACAUACUCUAUGUUGGCUUUCCUCCAGAACCUCUUCACCUCCUCAAUCUUUCUGCUUUCACAUUGUGGCUUCCUGGGAUCAUGCCCAAAUUUAUAAACUGUUUUAGGGAAACCAAACUAAUUCAA